UUAACAGGGCUGCUAAUUAAAGAUAACCACUUUGGAAGCCAUGGAGCCAUGGCCAGCUUCCACCAGAGCAAGGCACGCACAUCGCCAGCGAGGGGUCCCGCUUGCACAGAGGAGACAGUGGAGAGGAGGGUGAGGUGCUGAAGCAAUGCCUGUUAGUUACAGCUCGUUACAGGUAUCAUUUAUGCGGCUUAAUAUAAACGCAAAAGGUGAAAUCACUUCAUUAUUCUGCAGACAGGGAUGACAGAGCACGUGAUUUGGCAUAGUCAGUUUUAGGCUAGCUAGAAAUGAACUGCACAAUAUUUAAACCUGAUUAAGUACAUAAUAGGCUCAGCAACGGAUUACGUUUCUCCUUACAGUUUAUACAUUUAUAUACACACAUACACAGACAGGCGUUUUAUCAUUAGCUGCAUUUUAGUCUUGUCAAGAGACAACUACCUACUGCCAAAUGACUGAAGUGAUACUCAGAAAGGAAACUAUUCUUGGUGUGCUUUGCUGGGAAAAAAAAAAUAAAAGAUAAAUUCCAGUUUGGUGCCAUCCCCGUGGGCAGAUCUCACAUCCUGGCACUGCUGAACUGCUGGGGGGGGCAGGCAGGGGCACAGCACCUGCAGUGCCAGCAUUUUUGGGGCACCCAUGGGGCAGGAGGUGGUGGAGCCGAAGGGCUGCAUUCCCUUUUGGGCUGCUUUUCUAGGACUUGGAGGAAAAAAAAUAGUUGUUUAAAGUGCAUUUAGAGUCUGAAAAGCAUCUCUGAGAAGGAGCUUUCCCUCCCUCCUCCUGCCCCACAAUGUCCAUUUGCUCCCCAUUUACAAACCAGCCCUGAGCCCUGCUGCCUCCCUGCAAGCCCCUCACUGGAAGCCCGACCUCCCCAGACUGGGCAGGAUUUGGGGGCUGGUGGACCGGGGGGACUCAUUCUUGCAAAGGAUCCUAGUAGAGCCAGGCAGCCAAGCUUCACUGUGCUUUGUAGGAGCACGAGCAAGGAGUCACUCCCACCAGCCCAGAGCUUCCCUAAAGAGCUGCGAGCCAACAGGGAGAAGUAUUGGCCUCGUUAUUUACAGCAUCGGCGGGGCUGGUUGUAUGUGGGGUGGCAAGAUUGCACCAAAAAUAGGUCCCACGAGAAACACUCUGCCAGUUUUAGUUUUGAAAUAGAAGCCUUUAGAAAACAGGUCCAGGAUACAGGACCAGGCUGGUCUCACCCCCCAGAGAAAACCUGUCCUCACUCCCCAACACGCACGCACCCAUGCACACAGCAGCUUUCAUCUGCAGCCACGCAAAAAUAAUACUGCUCUUCCACAGCAAAAUGUAAACUACACAUUUACAACACCACGCACUGAGAGAAGGUGGAUGGAGAUCCUGAGCCAGGGAUUGGAUUAGGAAUCUCUUGGCUUCCAGCAUGUCAACAGCAGGAUUGAAGGGUUCUCUCUCUCCUGUUUUAAAAAUCAGCUAAAACAGCUUUUUUUUUUUUUUUUUAAUGGCUAAACCAGCCACCUGCUAGUUAAAAAGCAGAAGAAAAGAAUUCCCAGGAUUGCUUGCCCUUGCUGAGACAACGGCAGAUUGCUGGAUACUACCAAGUGAAAGAAAACUCACACGUCAGAAACCUGUAGUUCAGCUCUUAUUUAGGGGGAGAUGGGUGCUGGUCACUACUUUGUAAUCUUUCCCUUUUUGGGGGGGCUUUUGGCUGAUGUAGUUCUAACACACACCUAUCACCACAGGAAUUAAAAAGUCACCACCGUGCACUAUUUCACAGGGAAAAGAAGACACAGGAAUGUACACGUACUAUCACGCACAGCACGAGUCCUGCAGGUCAGCUCACAGCCUCUUCAGAAUGAGAAAUAAAAGAGAAAUAACAGAGAAGGAGCUCAAGGUGAUGGUGGGGAAAAGGGGGAAAAAAAGGAA